UCGUUGAUACCAAAAACACGGACAUCUGUACUGUAUUGUUAUACUGUUAACACAACAGCUCAUCAUAUUGGCCUGUCUGUCUGUUGGGAGACAGUCGACUUGGAUCGUUAAGUUCUCCACAAUUUUUAAAUGCUUAACGUUAAAUGUUGCUCGACCCAGACGUAAACAAAUACUCUCGUGAUACUAAAUGACGUAAACAUGGACUGCCACAUUCAUGAAUAGCCUUUAUUGCAGGACAGUAGUGCUUCUCCAGUCUUCUUUGGCGCCAAUGAUACUCAACCCAGGCGCAGCGUGAUGACGGAGAGCAGAGAUGGAGGAAGAGAGAGACGAACGCGCGGAUCAGAUUCGGCUGGAGUGUUGAUACCUAUUUUUUACAGUCUAUACUAUACACAUUGUAAAAUACGAUAAUAAUUAAUUGCAACAAAUGUUGUAUAACAAACUAAAUCAUACUUAGAGGUAUCGUAUUUGAUUGUUUAUAAAACAAUAUUAUGCCUAAUGCUGUUAUUAGAAAU